CUUUCUGUGACUUCUCCCCUGCUGAACUGCGAGCUGCUCAAGGUCAAGGGCGGGUCUUCUUCCUCUAAGAAUCCCCAGUGCUUUCAACCCUUAAUAACUGUUGAAUAAACACAUGAAUGGAGGUGGCCAGUCUGAGGCUUUGUGGGGAGAACAAAAGUAGGAGUUGUCUGGAUGUGAAAUAUCGAGAAGGUCAGACACCUCCCAUCCCAGAUUCCAGAAACUUCUCCCCACCUUUCUUCACCCCUCAGAGGGUGAUCCUGUCCCAGGCACUCCCGGCGAUGAUAUCAGAAAUACCUUGAGAGAGGUAGCAGCCAUGGAAGGGGGGAACACAAAGGAGCUGAGUUCAUGGCUUGUGUCCAUGCAUCAUUCUUUUUUUCCAGAAACAUGAUGGUCCCACGUUUGAGAAAGGUCCGAUGAACUCCAGUUGUAGCCACCUCUGCCUUCUUUUAUUUCUCAAAUAUUUAACCCUUGUCUUCACAGCAGGAAGGAAGAAGAGUGUGGCUUCGGAAUCCUACCCAACUGCAUUUAUUUCAGGCAGUUAGGUGGAGGGUGCCCACAGGAGGGAAACAAGAAUCAGAGGAUGCCACCUUUCCACUCAAGAGUGUCUCAACCAGAGUGACCUCCAUGACUUGGUGCCCAUGCUUCAGAAGCCCAGGUCAGAGGUGGAGGGAACCUGCCAGCCCUGAGGUGACCCAGCACAGGGUGAGAAGGCGGCGCUGGGGAAGGAAGCUCCACUCCAGCAGCCACAAGACGAGGCAAAGGGUAAAUGGGUGUGUGUAGAGCUGUCUGCCGGCCGUGCCUUGUUCAACUUUCUGCCAGUUGUCCCCUGUGUGCCAUUCCUGGGGCUUGGACAGAGGCCAGGAGCUGCUGCCACCAAGAAGGCGGGUGGGUUAUAUGCCCACUCGGCUCCUCUCCUUUGUGAAUCUUCACUGACAGGCUGCACACUAGCUCAGGGUCUGCCGGGGAGAGAUCAAAGCAGUGGAGCUGCUGAAGGAGCAGAAUACCAUUCAGAGAAGAAGCAACCCAUGUUAUCUUUUUACAUGGCAAUCAAAGAACCAAUAGCUACCCACACUGUGUGAGACCCUUAUAACAUGUAAGGGCCGGAACUCUGUGGCUUCCCACCCGUUUUGUGACCCAUCCAGAACUGCACUGAUUUGAAGGCGCUGUGACUCUGGGGAAGCGACUAUCAAUUGAUGGAGCCAGAAGUCCUCUUGGCAGGAUCCAGGGAGGCCCACCGCGUCUGGCCAUUUCCACGCCAGCCUCCUGGUCUGGGGAAUUUGCACAAUGCUUUGCCUUUCCAAUUUAAGUCAAGAGCACAAUGGGGACAUUAUUACAGGCCUUUCCGCUUUAAUUAAAUUUCCUACAAGGGGCAUCUGCUAGUUUUUUCCUAGUUUUGCUGGCGCCUCUUGUGCGGUUGGUGCAGAUCCACCACCACUGAGCAGGGAUAUUUGCCUACUAAUUAUCAAAGGAAUGUAGAUGCUCUGUGGGCUCAGCUGCCCAGUUUUGUGAUUAUUACUAUUUAUUGGUUAGGUGUCCUCUUCCUCGUGCUUUGUAAGCCUUGUUAUCGGGGUCAUAUUGACUUCCCCUAAUAAAAUCAUUUUCUCUGUCCCUAAGCCUGGUAAC
rnacentral:lncRNA from 1 species